GCAUAGCUUGAUUUUCAAGUAUGGAUUUCCAAUUCCAUUCUUAUAAACCUAAGUUUUUCUUGUAAACUAAAUAUACUUAUCUCCAUUUUUCAUCUGAAUUUUCUUUGCUCUUUCCUUCUUUGAAACUAAAGUUCCUCCAAUGGAAAACAGUUAUAGAACAUUAUUUCUUCUUAUUUUAGCCUUAUUUUUCUCUCAUUUAUUCAUGGUUUCUGCUAGGCCAUUUUCACAUCAAUAUUCAAGAAGAUUAAUGGUUUCUUUUACUUCAAUUUCUACUAAUAUUGGCAAAGUAAAUGGAGCAAUUGUAGAGCAUGAGAAAGCUGUGGAAAAUGGUUUAAGGAAAAGGCCUCGAAGUUCUUCAAAUCCUAUUGGAAAUAAAUUUUCCUCUUUUACUAGAAGGGGAGUCUGGACGUAACUGGUAAAGUUACUGGCAUGUGACCAGGAGGUCACGAGUUCGAGCCGUGGAAACAGCCUUUUGCAGAAAUGCAGGGUAAGGCUGCGUACAAUAGAUCCUUGUGGUCCGACUCUUCCCCGGACCCUGCGCAUAGCGGUUGUGCAUCAGGCUACCCUUUUUUUUCUUCUUUUACUAGCUAGGAAGGAUAACAUUGGGUGGUAGUGUUGAUAUAUUUAUUUAUUGAAUUUAGCUUAUAUAUAGUGAUGGUGUAAUAUUUUUUUACAUUAUCAGUGUAAUUUAACAUGUUGUAGAAAUUUGUCUGUCUUAUCUAUCGGAACUAAUUUUACU